rnacentral:rRNA from 1 species
AUUGAACGCUGGCUGCAGGCCUAACACAUGCAAGUCGAACGAGUUGCGGACGGGUGAGUAAUGUCUGGGAAACUGCCUGAUGGAGGGGGAUAACUACUGGAAACGGUAGCUAAUACCGCCUACCAUCAGCUGUGCCCAGAUUGGAUUAGCUAGUUGGUGGGGUAACGGCUCACCAAGGCGACGAUCCCUAGCUGGGCUGAGAGGAAGACCAGCCACACUGGAACUGAGACACGGUCCAGACUCCUACGGGAGGCAGCAGUGGGGAAUAGUGGACAAUGGGCGCAAGCCUGAUGCAGCCAUGCCGCGGGUAUGAAGAAGGCCUUCGGGGUGUAAAGUACGUUCAGCGGGGAGGCGUUACCAGCAGAAGAAGCACCGGCUAACUCCGUGCCAGAAGCCGCGGUAAUAC